AAAAAUAAAAAUAAAAAAUAAAAUUUAGUAUUUGAUAUUUUUAGAUGAUGUUGAUGAAGAGACAAAUAUUGAACCUCUCAUAGCAACUUUUAUUUCUUUUUUGAAGUAUAGUUGACUGUAUAAAUUAAUGUAUUAUUUAUAUCUUCUAUUUACUAUAUAAUUUAAAAUAUUUUAGAAUUUAUAUAAAUUUUCCGCCGCGUAGCGCGGGCCUUCACUAGUAUAACU
rnacentral:lncRNA from 1 species